rnacentral:tRNA from 3 species
GGAGGAGUCCUAUAGCGGCCAUUAGAAUAGCUUGGAAAGCUAUGACCUGAAAGGGUCUCGUGGGUUCGAGUCCCACCUCCUCCG